GCCUGGGUGGCUCAGUUGGUUAAGCAUCUGCCUUUAGCUCAGGUCAGGAUCCCAAGGUCCUGGGUUCAAGUCCCACAUCAGGCU
rnacentral:tRNA from 1 species